rnacentral:lncRNA from 1 species
UUGGAAUGUUGCAGAUACCGCUGGGCUUUCUUGAUAUAAGGUAAGAGGAAAGAUUAGUGAGGCUGGAAUUAGAAACACUGAAUCCAAGUCCAAGAUCUGAUGUGAAAACCAGCACAAUUCUUAUUCCCUCUGGCUUUCCUUUCUCCUUUGUUUGCAGGAGAAUAGUAACUGUUUCUCACCUUAUGAAAAAAGCCACAGCUCUCCCACCAGGUACCUUAGUGUCCUACCAUUCCAUAUCCAACUCUGUCUAUUUUGGGCAUUUCCAAACAAGGCCACAGAUUUUUAUUGCUUCCCUAUUGUUCUUUGAAGAAUGAUAAUUUCCUUGCUAAGAUAUCUAACGCUACUUCAUUGUAAGAGGCUCAGAUUUUUUCUUUCUCUCCUAUAAAAUGUGAAAUUUAUUUGUAUUUGACUUGGUUCAAGUUUGCCUGGAGUGGCUUCUCACUACUUUGUUUUCAUCUACCUUGGGAAGAUUUCUUUUUAUGUCACCUCUUACAUGCUUGUAGUUUCUUGGUAUAAGAAUUCAUUUUAUUCUCUUCUCUUUUUCCAAUUAUUACCAUGUUGUUGACUUUUUCCACUUUGAACCACUUCCUUUAGUUGUUUUUUCCUUUCAGUAAGAAAUAAUACCAUAUUUGAAACUAACAUAAUUCUUUUUUUUUUUUUUUUUUUUUGGUGGCAGGGAUUGAACCCAGGGGCACUUUAACACAGAGCCCCUGCCUCAGGCCUUUUUUGUAUUUUACUUAGAGACGGGGUCUCACUGAGUUGCUUAGGGCCUUACUAAGUUGCUGAGGCUGACUCUGAACAUGAUCCUCCUGCCUCAGCCUCCUGAGCUGCUGGGAUUACAGGUGUGUGCCUCCAUGCCUGACAACUUAAUUCUUACAUUGACUGCAAGAUACACUCAUUGGCCAUCUUAAUUCUGUAGUAUGGGGGGAAAAAAGCUUUCUUCUUCUGUUUUGAAAAUAGAAGAAGAAAGCUUUAUGUCAUUGCCAGGAUCCCAGAAGUGAGCUACUAGAGAAGGUUAGAGCACAUUUACUAAUUCCACUGCUGAGUUUCCUUUAGUUAGCUUUAACUUACAGAGUUAUUGUGUACAUUAUACCCUUCCCCAACUCGUGCACAUAAACGUCUUCAGGUGUUGACCACGUAUAUAUUGGGGGAAGCAUAUGUGCUUAAUUGAGAACUUAAGUCAACUUGCACCUUAUCUAAAUUUCAGAUAUGGACAGUGUCUUAUUUCCUAACCCUUAGGUAACAUGUGUUUAUAUACACAACAAAACUCUAUGGCUGCAGAUAUUUCUAGGUGUAUUCCAUUUGUGUGGAAUAGGCAACUAUUAAAAGCCAAGAACUGCAGAAACUGGCAUCACAGGAGGGCUUCCAGAAGCCCUGUGUGGGGGGAGGGUUUCCACCCAGGAGGAGCCUUAGCUGAUUGAGUCUUUCCAAGAGAGGAGGACAGUGGAAAGGAAUCUCUUCUUCAAAUCCCCUCCCAUGUUUGCUUAGAAGACAUUGUCAGAAUCAACCCAGAUGCCAAAAACGUUCAAGGAAACUGUCUAGAAUCCCCAGUCUCCACCCAAUUCCAGUCCAACCCUUCUGCACUAAUCACUCUAGCCCUCUGAGACAGGGUGCCUGACAGGGCACCCAAUCUUCACAUUCCUCCCCAGAGCUUUACUGCAGUCAAAUGAGAGCAACAGCUUGAUCAUUUAAAAUAAUAAUCUUACAGCCUCAAAAUUCCAAAGGGUUUGGGCAGCUGAGUCACAGACAUAUGCAAAAGAUGUCACUUGUCCCAAGACACAAGGAGCCUUAGUGUGUUCCGAAGGAAAAGCCAGCUGUUUUAUUGCCUUCUGCACACAGGACAGAAUCAUGCUGUGACCAUAGGUGUGGCAGGUGUUCCCCUCACACCAGGCACACUUUGGACACCAACUGGGUGUCUGCUGAUUCAACCCAGUCCUGAGGCUGUCCACCUGGAGAAAGUAGAUAGCGUCCGAUUCCCCAGGUUAAGGACUCAGUCCCACUGAGCUGCAAGUAGUAGGCUGUCAUCUAUACCUCUGACAGACUGGCUAUAAACUGGGUUCCCACUACUCCCUUCUUGAGUUCAGUUAAUUUUCUGUGAUGGUUCCAAGAACUCCCCUGAACAUAUUUACUGCCUGCCCCUGCUUCCCUGGUACUGGGGAUUGAACCCAGGGGUGCUCUACCACUAAGCUACAUCCCAGCCCUUUUCAUUUUUCUUUUUUAUUUUGAGACAGGGUCUUAUUAAAUUGCUCAGGCUGGCCUGGAACUCACCAUCUUCCUGCCUCUACCUCCGGAGUCACUGAGAUUACAGGCAUGUGCCACUGUUCCUGAUGGUUUGCUGGCUUUUUAUAAGGGCUAUUUCGAAGGACAUAAAUGAACAGUGAGAUGAAGGAUGGACGACAGGAGGAGGUAUGGGGGCCAUGGAGCGCCAGUGCUUCCCUACAAGGGUGCCAGCCCACCAGCAUCUGUGUGUCCAGCAGACCAGCUCUUCCAUGCUUAUGGUUCAAGGGUUUUCAGACCUUGAUCUCCAGCCGCCCCCACCCCCACUUCCUGGUAUUCAAGCCCUCUAAUCUGUAAUCACUGGGUCUCCCCAGUGACUAGUUCUAGGGGCCUCACUCUAAGAUAAGCUCAUUAGCAGAGAUCCAGUGUUAUCCAAGGGUCAUUGUGAAAAACACAAACAUUCCUACCACUCAGGAACUUCCAAGAGUUUCAGCUUUGUGAGAGAAACCUGGGAAGAUGACCAAACACUGCAUUUUUCCUAGUAGUUACAUUUUCUAAGGAGUCCACAUUUUCAGCUUUCCAUACUGCCAGUCAAGCCUCUCAUCAGACAGAAGCAAACUAAAAGUCUGAUUACUAAAAAUAAAAAUAUUUGCUUUUAUCUGAUAGCAGAGUAUAACAACAAUUAUGCCUUUUAUCAUCUUAUUAUUUAAAAUAGAGAAUUUAAUUUUGAAUGAAAC